rnacentral:lncRNA from 14 species
CUGACGCAGAAGGCUGACCUUUCUUUGGACACGUCAAAGAGAACUGUGUCAAGUACUUCCACAUCAGCUUUUUGAUGAAGAAGAAAUGAUUUAUAUGGAGCCUGGGGAGGAAUGCAACAACUGAGGUCUGGAUUCUCUGUGGCUUCAUAAGUCCCUACAAGGAAGAGGAAAGUCAGAAAAAGUUUCAAGCAAGCAAGCAACAGACAAAAGUCCUUC